rnacentral:rRNA from 1 species
UACAGAGGGCGCGAGCGUUGUCCGGAAUUACUGGGCGUAAAGGGCGCGUAGGCGGCCCGCUAAGUCGAACGUGAAAUCCCCAGGCUCAACCUGGGAACUGCGUCCGAUACUGGCAGGCUUGAAUCCGGGAGAGGGAUGUGGAAUUCCAGGUGUAGCGGUGAAAUGCGUAGAUAUCUGGAGGAACACCGGUGGCGAAGGCGGCAUCCUGGACCGGUAUUGACGCUGAGGCGCGAAAGCUAGGGGAGCAAACGGG